rnacentral:rRNA from 1 species
UACGUAGGGUGCGAGCGUUGUCCGGAAUUACUGGGCGUAAAGAGCUCGUAGGUGGUUUGUCGCGUUGUUCGUGAAAACUCACAGCUCAACUGUGGGCGUGCGGGCGAUACGGGCAGACUGGAGUACUGCAGGGGAGACUGAAUUCCCGGUGUAGAGGUGAAAUUCGUAGAUAUCGGGAGGAACACCGGUGGCGAAGGCGGGGUCUCUGGGCCGAUACUGACGCUGAGGAGCGAAAGCGUGGGGAGCGAACAGG